AGUGAGGAAUAUUGGUCAAUGGAGGCAACUCUGAACCAGCCAAGUCGCGUGAAGGAUGAAGGUCUUAUGGAUUGUAAACUUCUUUUGCAAGGGAAUAAAGUGGGGGACGUGUCCUCCUUUGCAUGUACCUUGCGAAUAAGGAUCGGCUAACUCCGUGCCAGCAGCCGCGGUAAUACGGAGGAUCCGAGCGUUAUCCGGAUUUAUUGGGUUUAAAGGGUGCGCAGGCGGGAUGUUAAGUCGGCGGUGAAAUUUUGCAGCUCAACUGUAAAAGUGCCUUCGAUACUGACUUUCUUGAGUGUGGAUGAAGUAGGCGGAAUUUGUGGUGUAGCGGUGAAAUGCUUAGAUAUCACGAGGAACUCCGAUUGCGCAGGCAGCUUACUAAACCACUACUGACGCUCAUGCACGAAGGCGUGGGGAUCAAACAGGAUUAGAUACCCUGGUAGUCCACGCAGUAAACGAUGAUUACUAGUUGUUUGCGAUACAAUGUAAGCGACUGAGCGAAAGCGUUAAGUAAUCCACCUGGGGAGUACGUUCGCAAGAAUGAAACUCAAAGGAAUUGACGGGGGCCCGCACAAGCGGAGGAACAUGUGGUUUAAUUCGAUGAUACGCGAGGAACCUUACCCGGGCUUGAAAUGCGGCGGACCGGCAGAGAGAUCUGCCUUCCCUUCGGGGCCGCCGUGUAGGUGCUGCAUGGUUGUCGUCAGCUCGUGCCGUGAGGUGUCGGCUUAAGUGCCAUAACGAGCGCAACCCUCAUCAUUAGUUACUAACAGGUCAUGCUGAGGACUCUAGUGAGACUGCCAUCGUAAGAUGCGAGGAAGGUGGGGAUGACGUCAAAUCAGCACGGCCCUUACGUCCGGGGCGACACACGUGUUACAAUGGGUGGUACAAAGGGCAGCUACCUGGCGACAGGAUGCUAAUCUCCAAAACCACUCUCAGUUCGGAUCGGAGUCUGCAACUCGACUCCGUGAAGCUGGAUUCGCUAGUAAUCGCGCAUCAGCCACGGCGCGGUGAAUACGUUCCCGGGCCUUGUACACACCGCCCGUCAAGCCAUGGAAGCCGGGGGUACCUGAAGUCCGUAACCGUCAAGGAGCGGCCUAGGGUAAAACUGGUAACUGGGGCU
rnacentral:rRNA from 1 species